CCGUCAUUAAGGUAGAAAUUGGGGAUUUCUCUGGGGUUUCUCGAUCUUUAUCGUCGACAGUGGCUUCUUCUUCAACUUCUCGCACUCGUUCAUCACUAACAGAUGAUGCGUUGACCGAAAUCUUUGCUCAUCUUCCACUGAAUUCGAUUUAUAGAUUUAAAUGUCUAUCAAAGGUAUGGUCAUCUAACCAUUCAAACCCUAAUUUCAUGAUUAAAUGGUUUGAUAUCAAUAAAAAGUCACUCCCAUGGAUACUGUGUUAUUCAAUCCAUGAUGGCCGCAUUCCUGAUUUCCAUUCAGAGUUUAUGUCUAGAAAUGAACAUUUGUUCUCUCUUAAGUUUCUCUUAGAUCAGAAACCAUUUCAAGGAGAUAAGUUAAUCCUGUUAGGUUCUAGUAAUGGUUUGGUACUUUGUUCAGAUAGUUUAUUACCUCGGAGUGUCAUGUAUCAUGUUUGUAAUCCAUUAACUCAGAAAUGGGUUUCACUUCCUGAACCACCAAGUUGCCAGACCUGAGGAUUUAUUGUUACUGGUAUAUUUUCUGAGUAUUCAUCAACAUUUGCAAGUUGUUAUAAGGUUAUACGUAUCCCAUAUUUUAAGGAGCCUUCGAAUUUUUUUUAAUGUUGAUAUGUUUUCUUCUAAUUUGGGUGUAUGAGAAAGUAUUGAAGUUUCAUGCGAUGAAACUGUCGAGUCAGGAUGGACUAAAUUUGAUAAAUUCGUUAUCCUUAGUGGUGUUCUGUUUUGGAUUGAAAGGGGGCAUAGACUGUUAGUUUACAACCUCAAUCAGAAAAAUACUAGUGAUGGGCGACAUCAAUGUAGUUUGAUUAAUUUGCCAGAUGAGGAGUUUGAUAAUGCUGAUGUUCAUAACCUCCUUAGUCGUAUUGGGGAGUCUGAAGGCAGGGUUUGCUACACUAAAAUUGGAUGGGCAGGAAGGGGAGUGACUCUGAGUGUUUGGGUGCUCAAUGAGGUCAACUGGCAAAUAUUGCACAAGGAUAUUUCACUAGGCGAUAUGUUAGCAGAACUGCGUUCUCGGAUAGGUGAUCCAGGUGCAGCACUCCAGGUUUUAGGUUUUAGUCCUUUAGACCGUAAUGUUGUUUUGUUCGGUUGGAGGAACUGGGUUUUGGGGUUUAAUAUCCAAACCAGAAGAUUUGAAGACCUGUGCUUGGAUAACAGACAAGUACAUGUUGCAGGUGCAAUGUUCCAGCCGUUUGUUUUGAAGCCAAUGCCAACAUUACUUCCACCACCCUCUUGGAUUGACACUUAAAUGUCAUCUUUGCAUCCAAAACUGAGGAACUCAUUUGUCUCUUAUUGCCUCUUUAUAAUGUUCCUUUUGCUCAAUGAUGAACUUUAUGCCUUUGGUGCACUAGAUUUUCUCUCGAAUCCAAGGAUAUCAAGAUGGUGUUUUGUUAUUUUUGCUUAAUGUUACUAAUUUGGUGUUUUUAGGGAAGUAACGACUUUUUAUCAAGAAAUUUUAAGUCUGUUCGAUUACAGGCAGCAAACAAUGUUACUUGAUGUUUGUGUAUCUGUUAACUUUUGCAGUACGCUGUUUCUCUACUUUCUAAGUUCUAGAUACAUUAGUUAAUGCUUCGUGAGACUUAAUUAGUGGCUAUUGGGGUUUCAUCCCAGGUCUCCUAUAAGAUACACCAGUAGGGGUGAUUUUUAAUAUGUGCCCUAAAGUUGAAUCUGCAAAAGGUUAACAUCUCUCGAGUUCGGGAUAGCAUAAUUUAUUAAUCUUUUAUUCCAACCACUGAAACAGUCGUGCUUGUAAUAAUAUUGUAUCUUCUUUGGCAUUAUGAUCGAUAGAUACCUGCAAUUUCCUCAAGGGCUGUGCUGCUGGUGAGAUAAAACUUGAAACUCAAUAUGUGAUGACAUUGUAAGUGGCAGCAAAUUGUUGAAUUGAAGCAAGACUCCAAAGUCAGUGAUAGGGUAAGAAAGAGACUAUCUGUAGGUUGCUUGCAGGGCUUAAGAGUAGUCAUGCAUCCACUUGAUGCUGUACACAAAGAUCCCCAAGAUGAAGAAGCUCGUGCGGUUGCAAUCACCACCAUGCUGAAGGAUUUCCAAACACCAUGCGGAAGCAAAUCAGUACAGGUGCUGUCGUCGAGAUCAUCUCGAGGAAUUGUCUCAUCUUGUCUCUGCUGAAGGUAAGAUAUGUAGGAAUUAUAGCUACAAUACUACUGCUUCUACUGCCUGUAAUUAGUUCAACUGUCUGGGUUUGCGAUUCAGAACUUUUGUACUGCAUGAAAAGAUGUACUUGUUUCAGUAAAAAAGAAACCUCGUGUUCUCUAAAAUAAAAAAUGCAGUGAUGCAGAUUUGGGUUCAAUCAAUUACUUGUAUUAUGAAACUACCUCAGGAUAGCAGGUUCUUUUAUUCUGCAGAUUUGAAUGGUGGAAUUGUUUACGUUGCA